UACAGAGGGGGCAAGCGUUGUUCGGAAUUACUGGGCGUAAAGGGCGCGUAGGCGGCCUUCUAAGUCGAACGUGAAAUCCCCGGGCUCAACCCGGGAACUGCGUCCGAUACUGGAAGGCUUGAAUCCGGGAGAGGGAUGCGGAAUUCCAGGUGUAGCGGUGAAAUGCGUAGAUAUCUGGAGGAACACCGGUGGCGAAGGCGGAUCUCUGGGCCAUUACUGACGCUGAGGAGCGAAAGCGUGGGGAGCGAACAGG
rnacentral:rRNA from 1 species